GUGCCAGCCGCCGCGGUAAGACGUAGGGGGCAAGCGUUGUUCGGAAUCAUUGGGCGUAAAGCGCUCGUAGGCGGUCGAUUAAGUCGGAUGUGAAAACCCAGGGCUCAACCCUGUGCCUGCAUUCGAAACUGAUCGACUUGAAUCCAGAAGAGGCAAGUGGAAUUCCCGGUGUAGCGGUGGAAUGCGCAGAUAUCGGGAAGAACACCAGUGGCGAAGGCGGCUUGCUGGGAUGUGAUUGACGCUGAGGAGCGAAAGCUAGGGGAGCAAACAGGAUUAGAUACCCCUGUAGUCC
rnacentral:rRNA from 1 species